UACGUAGGGGGCAAGCGUUGUCCGGAAUCAUUGGGCGUAAAGAGCGUGUAGGCGGCUCGGUAAGUCCGCUGUAAAAGUCCAGGGCUCAACCCUGGAAAGCCGGUGGAAACUGUCGAGCUAGAGUCCGGAAGAGGCGAGUAGAAUUCCUGGUGUAGCGGUGAAAUGCGCAGAUAUCAGGAGGAACACCAAUGGCGAAGGCAGCUCGCUGGGACGGUACUGACGCUGAGACGCGAAAGCGUGGGGAGCAAACAGG
rnacentral:rRNA from 1 species